GGUCACACAUAAGGAGGUUAGCAGUGGGCAAGUGAGCAAAGCAUCAUCUAUAUUUACAGCCGAUCCCCAUUGCUCGCAUUACCGCCUGAGCUCUGCCUCCUGUCAGAUCAGCGGCAGCAUCAGGUUCUCUCAGGAACGAACUCUAUUGUGAACUGCUCAUGUGAGGGAUCUAGGUUUCACGCUCCUUAUGAGAAUCUAACACCUGAUGAUCUGUCACUGUCUCCCAUCACCCCUAGAUGGGACAGUCUAGUUGCAGGAAAACAAGCUCAGGGCUUCCACUGAUUCUACAUUAUGAUGAGUUGUAUACUUAUUUUAUAUUAUAAUAAAAUAUAUUAUUACAAUGUAAUAAUAAUAGAAAUAAAAUGCACAAUACAUGUAAUGUGCUUGAAUAAUCCCAAAACCACCCCCUCUCCUGGUCCAUGGAAAAACUGUCUUCCAUGAAAGUGGUCCCUGGUGCCAAAAAGGUUAGGGACCACUGUUACAGAGUAUCAGGUCCUCAAGAUGCUAAAAUCUAUAUGACAUUUUUAACAUGUGACAUUAUCAUCAUCAUCAUCAUCAUCAUCACUGAUGAUACUAUUUACCAGGGCAUGGUUUGAAUUGGUGACUUUGGUGCAGUUCAUUAUUGGCAGCCAAAUGCUUUAUCCAUACCUUCAUAUUGAAGAAUUUGUUAUCAGGAAACUACCAGUCCUGCUUUACAGGAAGUCUGUUAUCAGAUAUCAGAUGGCAAGUUCCCCAUGUCUUCAGAUGUUCAAACAAUAUUGUGGAUGGUCUAGAAAGAGUUUAAGACAUGCUGUUAAAUGUAGGGCUAGAUAAUUCUCUGAUUCUUUGAUGUAGUCUGGAAAGAAACAAUCCAUUGUCCAGUUAAUAAAUAUUUAGUGUUUUCAUUUUUAAGACACUCACAAUCCACAAAUGUCCCUAACAAUUUAUUAUUUUUAAAGAAAAUGACUUUUUAUUCCUUGCUAGUGAAAAAUGUACAAUUUAUAUGCUGCACUGAGAAAAAUAACAGAUAUACUUUCUUCCAUUCAUUUUCAUCCCAAACAUAUAAAAAAUAAUCCAUUGAUUGUUCCUUGCAUUGCAUAUCUUAUUAAAAGAUAUUUCCUACAUGCAACUAAUAAGACAUGCUGACUGUUGUCAGCUCUAAAUUUAUGUAAAGAUUUUUUAUUUUUGUUAAAAUGUUUGAAAUUUGCUUUUUGCUCCACACCUCACCUGUUUUUGAUAAAUCUGUGCUAAUAAGUACAUAGGAGGUAAUAAAUAAUUGAGUUGUGAGAAA
rnacentral:lncRNA from 1 species